AACAAAAACCUCACAGUAUUUUGUUAUCAA
rnacentral:piRNA from 1 species